GGUUUCUCUGUGUAGCCUUGGCUGUCCUGGCACUCACUCCGUAGACCAGGCUGGCCUGGAACUCACAGAGAUCUGCCUGACUCUGCCUCCCAAGUGCUGGGAUUAAAGGCGUGCGCUACCAACGCCC
rnacentral:miRNA from 1 species